rnacentral:misc_RNA from 1 species
AAGACUAUAGACCUGCGGAGUACCUGCGGAGGGAUCAUUACCGAGUGCGGGCCCUCUGGGUCCAACCUCCCACCCGUGUUUAUUGUACCUUGUUGCUUCGGCGGGCCCGCCAUUCUGGCCGCCGGGGGGCUUGCCCCCGGGCCCGCGCCCGUCGAAGACACCCUCGAACUCUGUCUGAAGAUUGUAGUCUGAGUGGAAUUAUAAAUUAUUAAAACUUUUAGCAACGGAUCUCUAGAUCGG